CCUGCUCUCCCCGCUGCAUCCUCUCCUUUGCACGCCGCCUCCACUCCAGCCCGCCGGCGCACUCCGUCUCCUCUCCCCAACAUGGCCUCGCCUCGCCUCAUGGCCAACCCCGCCGGUGUUCCGUAGAUGGACUCUACCGCCUCCGUGCCCCGACGUAGAUCAAGCCGUGAGCUGCUGGAUGUGAUGCGGGGCGGGCAUCUCGGAGCGGACCGAGAUCCACUGCGUGUACGUGGGGAGGACGCUUCGACCUGGAGCUCCAUGGUGUCCCACAACCACGAGCACCUCAGGUUCAGUCAGCACCAGAUUGAGGAGAGUCGCGCCGUCGUCAAGGGCCAUGGAACUCGGGACGCCGCCGCCCUGCCCCCGCUCCGACGCCAUCAAGCAUCACCAACUCAGCUUGAUGUAGGGGGAGGAUGCUUCUUCUUCUUGGGACGUCGGGUUGUCGUGGAAGGUCUCCCUUUUCCUCCCUCUCCUCGUUUCGAUUUGGUACGGUGCUAGAUUUGGUUCCCUUCCCUCCCUGAUGCGGUUCCACACGCCUCUCUCUAACAUCACAUUGCUAGCAUAGAUUACUCAACAUCUACUGCCAUUUAAAAAAACUUUACAUGAAAGAAAAUGAAAGGGGUUCAAAGUCUGCGGAGCAAUUUGGCAUUCGAGGACAUCUUCAAGUCAGAAGAGAAGUAAUGUACUGAAGUUCAGUCAAUCUAAGGAUAGCAAUUAACUGUAAGUCAAUCUUAGGAUAGCAUUCGCCUGCAAAUAUGUGUACACAUACUCCUGUUUGAAUAGCAACAACACCAUGGUGGCCUGUUUCAAAAUUUCACUAAUGGAUGUAAUUUUUUUACUCAAAAGAAGCACAAGCUUACCAGAUCUCUAUAGGAAGGUAUCUGCUCAGGGAGCAACAUGAGGCUUGAAGUGGCGCUCAUCACCCAGUAUGAUGGGAAGACUCAAUGACAGAGUCGACAUUAUUGACAUUUUCCUUGUUAGAAACGGCACUAUGGGGUGUUUUUAAUGAAUUUGGACCAUGAAAUGGAGUCUCAUCGGACAUCAUCACAUCAACAGUGGCAGGCUGGAAGUACUCCGAUGUCGACCAAUGUCCUUGAGAUGGUGCGGCCACCAGGGUGAGGACGGUGUGGACACCGAAGCUAGGGCGGCGCGUCGGGAUGGCGCCAGGUUUCCUUGAGACGGCGGCCAGCGGGUCGAGGACGUUAUGGACACCAGAUCUAGGGCAGGUCGUCGGGACGGCGCCAGGUUUCCUCGAGACGGCACCUGCUAGCGCAGUGGCAGGCUGGAAGUACUCCGAUGUCGACCAAUGUCCUUGAGAUGGUGCGGCCACCAGGGCGAGGACGGUGUGGACACCGAAGCUAGGGCGGCGCGUCGGGACGGCGCCAGGUUUCCUCGAGACGGCGGCCAGCGAGUCGAGGACGUUAUGGACACCAGAUCUAGGGCAGGUAGUCGGGACGGCACCAGGUUUCCUCGAGACUACACCUACUAGGGCAGGUUCAUGGCCUGGUGGCGGUGUUUUUUUUUUUCCGUUUAGUUGUUGGUGGCGGCGUUGAUCACGGACGUGCUGUUUAAUUUCGUGGGCUCCCAUCGUUGGGUUGUCUAGCAUCCCAAGCGGGGAGUCUGCCGGCAGAACAUUUAUUUUGAACCAUAGAUCUGAUUGUAGUAUGGUGAAUGUAACGUGGACAG